rnacentral:ncRNA from 1 species
CCUAUGGAGUGUCAUAUCAAACGAAAGUAGUUAAUAAGAUUUUCUUAUAACCAAAUCGGACACGAUGAAGUAGGAA